rnacentral:lncRNA from 1 species
AGGAAUCAAAUAUGAUCAUGGAGAUGGAGAUCACUCUCUGAGGAAAUCAAUGUUUUAAAAUCUCGGGGAUGAUUACUGAUUAGUGAGGUUAAAUCACACUACAUUUACCAAGAAAAUUGUGCUAUAUAGAAUUUCAUUAUGUUUUUAGUUUGUUGCUAAUGAGAGGGAGGGAGAGAGAGAACCUCUGUGCGGAUUGUCAGAAGAAGCUGGAAGAGGGAGAAUAUAUCAUUCAGCAAAGCAUGAUGACUCCAAUCUUGUACUCCACUCUGGACUCUGGAGUACUCAAACUUGCAGUUACUCUGCAUGGAAAUCAUAUCAAUACACAUAAUCCCCCGAAAUAGCCACACCUCUUUCUUUCUCUUCCUCUGUCACACGCAAUUGCAA